AUUGAACGCUGGCGGCAUGCUUUACACAUGCAAGUCGAACGGUAACAGGGAGCUUGCUCCGCUGACGAGUGGCGAACGGGUGAGUAAUGCGUCGGAACGUGCCGAGUAGUGGGGGAUAACGCAGCGAAAGUUGUGCUAAUACCGCAUACGUACUGAGGUAGAAAGUGGGGGACCUUCGGGCCUCACGCUAUUCGAGCGGCCGACGUCUGAUUAGCUAGUAGGUGAGGUAAAGGCUCAACUAGGCGACGAUCAGUAGCGGGUCUGAGAGGAUGACCCGCCACACUGGGACUAAGACACGGUCCAGACUCCUACGGGAGGCAGCAGCUAAGAAUCUUCCGCAAUGGGCGAAAGCCUGACGGAGCGAUGCCGCGUGAUCGAUGAAGGUCGGGAGAUUGUAAAGAUCUUUUCCACAUGAGGAAUAAGCUGAGGAGGGAAUGCCUUGGUGAUGACGUUAGUGUGGGAAUAAGCCCCGGCUAAUUACGUGCCAGCCGCCGCCGUAACAC
rnacentral:rRNA from 1 species